rnacentral:rRNA from 1 species
GGGUUGUGAGGUUAAGCGACUAAGCGUACACGGUGGAUGCCGCAGUCAGAGGCGAUGAAGGGCGUGCUAAUCUGCGAUAAGCGCCGGUAAGGUGAUAUGAACCGUUAUAACCGGCGAUACCCGAAUGGGGAAACCCAGUGUGAUUCGUCACACUAUCAUUAACUGAAUCCAUAGGUUAAUGAGGCGAACCGGGGGAACUGAAACAUCUAAGUACCCCGAGGAAAAGAAAUCAACCGAGAUUCCCCAGUAGCGGCGGAGCCCAGAGCCUGAAUCAGCAUGUGUGUUAGUGGAAGCGUCUGGAAAGGCGCGCGAUACAGGGUGACAGCCCCGUACACAAAAGCGCAUGUGCUGUGAGCUCGAUGAGUAGGGCGGGACACGUGGUAUCCUGUCUGAAUAUGGGGGGACCAUCCUCCAAGGCUAAAUACUCCUGACUGACCGAUAGUGAACCAGUACCGUGAGGGAAAGGCGAAAAGAACCCCGGCGAGGGGAGUGAAAAAGAACCUGAAACCGUGUACGUACAAGCAGUGGGAGCACCCUUCGGGGUGUGACUGCGUACCUUAGUCUUAAUUGGGCGUUAAGUUGCAGGGUAUAGACCCGAAACCCGGUGAUCUAGCCAUGGGCAGGUUGAAGGUUGGGUAACACUAACUGGAGGACCGAACCGACUAAUGUUGAAAAAUUAGCGGAUGACCUGUGGCUGGGGGUGAAAGGCCAAUCAAACCGGGAGAUAGCUGGUUCUCCCCGAAAGCUAUUUAGGUAGCGCCUCGUGAAUUCAUCUCCGGGAUCCCGGCUUACCAACCCGAUGCAAACUGCGAAUACCGGAGAAUGUUAUCACGGGAGACACACGGCGGGUGCUAACGUCCGUCGUGAAGAGGGAAACAACCCAGACCGCCAGCUAAGGUCCCAAAGUCAUGGUUAAGUGGGAAACGAUGUGGGAAGGCCCAGACAGCCAGGAUGUUGGCUUAGAAGCAGCCAUCAUUUAAAGAAAGCGUAAUAGCUCACUGGUCGAGUCGGCCUGCGCGGAAGAUGUAACGGGGCUAAACCAUGCACCGAAGCUGCGGCAGCGACACUGUGUGUUGUUGGGUAGGGCUGUAAGCCUGCGAAGGUGGCCUGUGAGGGUUGCUGGAGGUAUCAGAAGUGCGAAUGCUGACAUAAGUAACGAUAAAGCGGGUGAAAAGCCCGCUCGCCGGAAGACCAAGGGUUCCUGUCCAACGUUAAUCGGGGCAGGGUGAGUCGACCCCUAAGGCGAGGCCGAAAGGCGUAGUCGAUGGGAAACGGGUUAAUAUUCCCGUACUUGGUGUUACUGCGAAGGGGGGACGGAGAAGGCUAUGUUGGCCGGGCGACGGUUGUCCCGGUUUAAGCGUGUAGGUGUGUGUUCCAGGUAAAUCCGGUUCACUUUAACACUGAGGCGUGACGACGAGGCACUACGGUGCUGAAGCAACAAAUGCCCUGCUUCCAGGAAAAGCCUCUAAGCAUCAGGUAACAUCAAAUCGUACCCCAAACCGACACAGGUGGUCAGGUAGAGAAUACCAAGGCGCUUGAGAGAACUCGGGUGAAGGAACUAGGCAAAAUGGUGCCGUAACUUCGGGAGAAGGCACGCUGACACGUAGGUGAAGUGAUUUACUCAUGGAGCUGAAGUCAGUCGAAGAUACCAGCUGGCUGCAACUGUUUAUUAAAAACACAGCACUGUGCAAACACGAAAGUGGACGUAUACGGUGUGACGCCUGCCCGGUGCCGGAAGGUUAAUUGAUGGGGUCAGCGCAAGCGAAGCUCCUGAUCGAAGCCCCGGUAAACGGCGGCCGUAACUAUAACGGUCCUAAGGUAGCGAAAUUCCUUGUCGGGUAAGUUCCGACCUGCACGAAUGGCGUAAUGAUGGGGCUGUCUCCACCCGAGACUCAGUGAAAUUGAACUCGCUGUGAAGAUGCAGUGUACCCGCGGCAAGACGGAAAGACCCCGUGAACCUUUACUAUAGCUUGACACUGAACAUUGAGCCUUGAUGUGUAGGAUAGGUGGGAGGCUUUGAAGCGUGGACGCCAGUCUGCGUGGAGCCGACCUUGAAAUACCACCCUUUAAUGUUUGAUGUUCUAACGUGGACCCGUAAUCCGGGUUGCGGACAGUGUCUGGUGGGUAGUUUGACUGGGGCGGUCUCCUCCUAAAGAGUAACGGAGGAGCACGAAGGUUGGCUAAUUCGGACAUCAGGAGGUUAGUGCAAUGGCAUAAGCCAGCUUGACUGCGAGCGUGACGGCGCGAGCAGGUGCGAAAGCAGGUCAUAGUGAUCCGGUGGUUCUGAAUGGAAGGGCCAUCGCUCAACGGAUAAAAGGUACUCCGGGGAUAACAGGCUGAUACCGCCCAAGAGUUCAUAUCGACGGCGGUGUUUGGCACCUCGAUGUCGGCUCAUCACAUCCCUGAAGUAGGUCCCAAGGGUAUGGCUGUUCGCCAUUUAAAGUGGUACGCGAGCUGGGUUUAGAACGUCGUGAGACAGUUCGGUCCCUAUCUGCCGUGGGCGCUGGAGAACUGAGGGGCUGCUCCUAGUACGAGAGGACCGGAGUGGACGCAUCACUGGUGUUCGGGUUGUCAUGCCAAUGGCACUGCCCGGUAGCUAAAUGCGGAAGAGAUAAGUGCUGAAAGCAUCUAAGCACGAAACUUGCCCCGAGAUGAGUUCUCCCUGAGACUUAAAGUCUCCUGAAGGAACGUUGAAGACGACGACGUUGAUAGGCCGGGUGUGUAAGCGCAGCGAUGCGUUGAGCUAACCGGUACUAAUGAACCGUGAGGCUUAACCUUACAACGCCGAAG